GGUGGGAGGUGGAGCUGCUGCGGCACAGCGAGUUGGAAAGGCCGGUGAGUUAAGCGGCUGGCGGUGUGUGAGCGAGGAGCGCAGGGCGAGAGAGUGAGAGGCUGAAGCUCGGUGAGAGACGCCCACUCUCCGUGGCGAAAGCUCCGGUGCAGGUGAGGCAGCAGGUAGGAGAACGCAGCAUAAACGCAAAAAAAAAAAAAAAAAAAAAAAAGGAGAACGCAGCAUCUGUGAGGCCCGCCCAGAGCCAGGCAAGUCGCCUCGAAGACGUGCUCUCGCUCCGCGAAGAGCUGCUGUUUCCCCCUGAGCUUUUCCGCCCAAACGGAGAGCGCUGCCCCCUGCCGUUUGAACAGAGCUGAGUCCGCUGGGUCAAAAACGUGUUUCAUUCGUGGCACGGGUCGUGUCAUUCUGUCAGAGGUUGUGUGUGGAGGCAAGGAAGAGAUGACCCAAACGCAGGACUCACGGUGCAGGAUGAUGAUGUUGUUUUAUUGGAGCGAGUGCACGAACAGAGCAGGAACAAAAGGACUGACUGACUGAAGACCCAAUGGCUGGCUGAACAGCUGAACACACGCGGGAACGACAACAUAACAUCGACAAUGAACUAGGGGAAACUGAGGACACGCUGGAAGAUGAGUGAUUAGAAACCAUUUAAAAGACCAAACUGUGUCCACUGCCAAUGAGGGAAAACUGUGACACCUGGUUCAACCUCCUCAAACACGUAUCCAAGCUCCAUGAGGCAUGGACAACCUGCAGUUACAGACGUCUGUCUCUCUGGAGUCGGCCCAGAGACACAAGUGCAACUGUAGACCAGACGGUCAGGAAAAUUGGCCUGACAGCAUCAACAUGUGCCACCAUUACUUCAGCAGCACCCAUGUGUUCUCACUUUGUGGGGUACAGGAGUCAGCCUCUUUCCACAUGUGCCUGUGGCUGCCAGCUCAUGAAUUAUUCAGUGAAAAUAUUAAAAAUGGCCAG
ensembl:lncRNA